CAGUUAGGGGAAUGAUGUACUACCGAAGAGCUUUGAAGCUACAGGCUUUUCUUGAUAUGGCUUCUGAAAGAGGUAAUG